GUGAGAAUGUUGGCAUGAGUAGCGAGAUGUGGGUGAGAAUCCCACAGGCCGUAAACCCAAGGUUUCCAGGGGAAGGUUCGUCCGCCCUGGGGUAGUCGGGACCUAAGCUGAGGCCGAAAGGCGUAGGUGAUGGACAACAGGUUGAUAUUCCUGUACUACCGAUAACCGUUUGAGAGAAGGGAUGACACAGUAGGAUAAGCUAAGCACACUGUUGGUUAU
rnacentral:rRNA from 1 species